AUCACAUAGUGUGGACUUUAUUUGCAGCUUUGGUGUUAUAAUUAUAUACAAACGACAUUGAAUAUUUAAUAUGUGUGGUUGAAAUACACUUACUCGUUUAUCUAUCACCUACGUACGCUAAACAGACUAGAUUAUAAACAGUGACUUCGGAGUAUAAAACGGAUAUUUCUCGCACUUACAUAGAUUUAAAGUUCAACUAUGUCACGUUCUGGAACCUGCCUUACGUUUUUCGUGAAUGGAAAGAAGAUAUGUGAAACAAGUCCAGAUCCGAAGUGCACACUUUUGCAGUAUCUACGGCGAACACUUUUUUUACCAGGCACAAAAGAAGGGUGUGGUCAUGGAGGGUGUGGUUCGUGUACUGUGAUGGUGUCCAAAUAUGAUUUUACUAGCAAGCGUAUUAAGUAUCCUAAGAUGGUC